rnacentral:rRNA from 1 species
GAUGAACGCUGGCGGCGUGCCUAAUACAUGCAAGUCGAGCGAACGGACGAGAAGCUUGCUUCUCUGAUGUUAGCGGCGGGCGGGUGAGUAACACGUGGAUAACCUACCUAUAAGACUGGGAUAACUUCGGGAAACCGGAGCUAAUACCGGAUAAUAUUUUGAACCGCAUGGUUCAAAAGUGAAAGACGGUCUUGCUGUCACUUAUAGAUGGAUCCGCGCUGCAUUAGCUAGUUGGUAAGGUAACGGCUUACCAAGGCAACGAUGCAUAGCCGACCUGAGAGGGUGAUCGGCCACACUGGAACUGAGACACGGUCCAGACUCCUACGGGAGGCAGCAGUAGGGAAUCUUCCGCAAUGGGCGAAAGCCUGACGGAGCAACGCCGCGUGAGUGAUGAAGGUCUUCGGAUCGUAAAACUCUGUUAUUAGGGAAGAACAUAUGUGUAAGUAACUGUGCACAUCUUGACGGUACCUAAUCAGAAAGCCACGGCUAACUACGUGCCAGCAGCCGCGGUAAUACGUAGGUGGCAAGCGUUAUCCGGAAUUAUUGGGCGUAAAGCGCGCGUAGGCGGUUUUUUAAGUCUGAUGUGAAAGCCCACGGCUCAACCGUGGAGGGUCAUUGGAAACUGGAAGACUUGAGUGCAGAAGAGGAAAGUGGAAUUCCAUGUGUAGCGGUGAAAUGCGCAGAGAUAUGGAGGAACACCAGUGGCGAAGGCGACUUUCUGGUCUGUAACUGACGCUGAUGUGCGAAAGCGUGGGGAUCAAACAGGAUUAGAUACCCUGGUAGUCCACGCCGUAAACGAUGAGUGCUAAGUGUUAGGGGGUUUCCGCCCCUUAGUGCUGCAGCUAACGCAUUAAGCACUCCGCCUGGGGAGUACGACCGCAAGGUUGAAACUCAAAGGAAUUGACGGGGACCCGCACAAGCGGUGGAGCAUGUGGUUUAAUUCGAAGCAACGCGAAGAACCUUACCAAAUCUUGACAUCCUUUGACAACUCUAGAGAUAGAGCCUUCCCCUUCGGGGGACAAAGUGACAGGUGGUGCAUGGUUGUCGUCAGCUCGUGUCGUGAGAUGUUGGGUUAAGUCCCGCAACGAGCGCAACCCUUAAGCUUAGUUGCCAUCAUUAAGUUGGGCACUCUAAGUUGACUGCCGGUGACAAACCGGAGGAAGGUGGGGAUGACGUCAAAUCAUCAUGCCCCUUAUGAUUUGGGCUACACACGUGCUACAAUGGACAAUACAAAGGGCAGCGAAACCGCGAGGUCAAGCAAAUCCCAUAAAGUUGUUCUCAGUUCGGAUUGUAGUCUGCAACUCGACUACAUGAAGCUGGAAUCGCUAGUAAUCGUAGAUCAGCAUGCUACGGUGAAUACGUUCCCGGGUCU